GACGAACGCUGGCGGCGUGCUUAACACAUGCAAGUCGAACGGAAAGGCCCUGCUUUUGCGGGGUGCUCGAUUGGCGAACGGGGGAGUAACACGUGAGUAACCUGUCCUUGACUUUGGGAUAAAUUCACGAAACUGGGGCUAAUACCGGAUAGGAGCUCCUGCUGCACGGGGGGGGUUGGAAAGUUUCGGCGGUGGGGGAUGGACUCGCGGCUUAGCAGCUUGUUGGUAGGGUAGUGGAUUACCAAGGCUUUGACGGGUAGCCGGCCUGGGAGGGAGACCGGCCACAUAGGCACUGGGGUGGGGCCCAGACGGCAACGGGAGGCAUGGGCGGAGGACUGUGCAAAAAGGGCGGCGGGCGUAAGGAGGAACUCCGCAUGCGAGAUGACGGCCUUCGGGUUGUAACCCGCUUUCGCGUGUGACGAAGCGUGAGUGACGGAAAUGAGUAAAGAAGCACCGGCUACUUACGU
rnacentral:rRNA from 1 species